ACUACGGUAGCCUAAAUCGACUAACCAAUGAACAUUAAGGGCGCGAUUACGUCACGAGAGUUUAGUAAUUUGAAUCAUAAUAUGAUUAAUCGGUAUUUUUUGUAUGGAAAAUAGUAAAGAUAGUUAUGAAAUAAAGAUAUUUAGUGGAUUAUAAUACCUAAUUAUGAAAAACUUUUGAUUUUUGUGUGGUCUGGUACCCCUACCACAGUGGGAUAGAAAUCUUGAGCUUCCCUGGCCCCUUUCGCUUGGAGGUGCUGUGCUAGGUGCUAGUAGUCACAAACACGAAACACAUCAACAAGUCACGUUCGUAAGAGUUCGUUGCGCAUGAUUCAUUUUCCGUCAUUUUGUUUAUGAUUUUGUCCUGUUUUGUUUUUUUUUUUAAAUAGAGGUAAUUUUAUGACCAGUGAUAUGGCUAAGACAGAUAGACUAUUAUUGAAAUGGAACAACAUACAAUAAUAUGUAGAACAUGUUGUGUUGGUGGUUGUACCUUCUCCACAUCGAUUACGUUUUCCAGAGAUGAAAUGGACAUGUUCUUGGAAGGGUUGAAACUUAUUCAAAGCAUUUUAAAGAAGAUUUUAGGAUACAUGAGAGUUCGAACAAGAGGAAUUACCAAAGCUCAUUUUUACCACCACUAGGUAAGAACCACAUAGGACAAAUAAUUCAAUUUUAAUAGAGCUAAAAGUUAGCCAACCCCUAUCGAGUAAAGUACAUAUCCAACAAUUAAAAUACUUUGGAUCAAUCAAAUUACAGGAAUAUGCAAAAGACCUAUGCAUGAGUUAAAAGAAAUGACCAGAGACAGAGAUCUUUUUAGACAGACAAUAUAUGAUAUCAAGUCGACCACUACACUCCCUCCUGGGGGUCAGGAUUGAAGAGAGAGAUUAUCAGGAUGAAAAGGCUACUGAAGAAUCUCAAUUUAUUGACAUGCAUGUAGGUCAGAGUCAAUAGAUGCCUAGGCUCAAAAUGGGACCCAUUUCCAUUGAGUAUAACGUGGAUCCCUGCACAAGGAUAUACGUGAAGACCAGAAUGGUAGCAGUCACGUAUAAAAUAUAUCUAUGAUAUGAUACUUCUGUAAUUCCAUACAAAUUUUGAUUGCUCAAGUAAUUUUAUAAAGUAAUUUACAGAAAUAAAUAACUUUUUAAGAA